UACGUAGGGUGCGAGCGUUGUCCGGAAUACUGGGCGUAAAGCGUGCGCAGGCGGUGAUGUAAGACAGAUGUGAAAUCCCCGGGCUCAACCUGGGAACUGCAUUUGUGACUGCAUCGCUGGAGUGCGGCAGAGGGGGAUGGAAUUCCGCGUGUAGCAGUGAAAUACGUAGAUAUCAAGAGGAACACCAGUGGCGAAGGCGAGUCCCUGGACGAUACCUGACACUGAGGCACGAAAGCUAGGGGAGCAAACAGG
rnacentral:rRNA from 1 species